rnacentral:rRNA from 1 species
GACGAACGCUGGCGGCGUGCUUAACACAUGCAAGUCGAACGGAAAGGCCUGCUUUCCCUUGUGGAUUGCGGGUACUCGAGUGGCGAACGGGUGAGCAACACGUGAGUGAUCUGCCCCCAACUUGGGUAUAAGCCUGGGAAACUGGGUCUAAUUCCCGAUAGGACUGCAGGGUGGUGCCUGUGGUGGAAAACGAUUUUCUAGUGGUUGGGGAUGAGCUCGCGGCCUAUCAGCUUGUUGGUGGGGUAAUGGCCUACCAAGGCGGCGACGGGUAGCCGGCCUGAGAGGGUGGACGGCCACAUUGGGACUGAGAUACGGCCCAGACUCCUACGGGAGGCAGCAGUGGGGAAUAGUGCACAAUGGGCGGAAGCCUGAUGCAGCGACGCCGCGUGGGGGAUGACGGCCUUCGGGUUGUAAACUCCUUUCGACCGCGAGGAAGCCACCUGGUUGGAAGGGUGGUGACGGUAGUGGUAGAAGAAGCACCGGCUAACUACGUG